UAGGCGCGAGAUUUUUUCUAAUGUUAUCAAAUAUUACACACAGCCGUCCCAAAUUAAAGUCCCAACUCCUCUCCUUAAUAACUCCUAAGUCACCUCUUCCUCCCAAAGUCCCAAGUCCUUCGCAUCCUCCACCACUCAGCCGUCCUCCGUCGUCCCUUCCUCCGCCGGAUUUCAACUGGAACUCACUCUUGGUCCUCUCCUUGGAAUGCAUGUCCAGCGAGCCACUUUUGUUUCGGUGCUGCUGUUCCGGAGCAUGCCAAGACAUGGAUGUAGUUUCUCAGCCUUCGAACGUUUCAAAGCAUCGUUUCUCCGUAACGAGUUCGAUACCUGCAACAUUCUUCUUUCUCAGCUUAAGGAAAUUCAUUAUAGUGGAUCAACUAGGUUACAUUAGAACUUUCGAUAUAAGGUAUGCUAUCAUUAACUCAUUUUUUCAGUGGUAGUAUUUUUUUUUGGCUAUAAAGGUUGCUGCAAGUCAUCGAAUAAUCGACAAAUCAAUAACAAUGGAAUUGGGUUUUUGAUUGAUUAAUGUAAGUAGUUGAAUUAGAGAGUGAUAAGACAGUGACUUAUUAUGUGUUUGAGUGUUCUGUCUUUUUUUAUUUUCUUUGAUUUUUGACAUUUUAAUUGAAAUACAUAUGAAGUGUCAUGAGAUUCGCCCUCGAGACGUCAUUUUUGAGUUUCUCUGCUCAAUGUCAUCGUCAUUUUGGCUUGAGAGAGAAGAACCUCCGUCAAUUAUUUUCCGUAAAGAUUUGUCCGAGGUUUCCUUCUUUCGAUGAUUCUAUCUUUUUUCUUCAAUUCCAAGUAUGACAUCAGAAACUAAAUGAAAACACAAGUUUGAAGGAAUUCCAAGUCAAUCAGUAAUUUGAAACCUCCUUUGGUGUACUUCCCUCGCUGUGUAAUUUAUGUUGUGAAACUCAUUGGCGAUGUUAAAAAUCAAGGAAAUAAGAAGCAUGUGGUGAGGGAUUUGGGUGCAGACCUCUCAUUGGGCAUAUCUGAUCCUGAUGCCAGAGGUGUGUGUGAAGUUCGAUCUGGCAGUAUACUGUUGUCGAAGAAUUACACAGUUUGGAAAUCAUAUUUCCUAAAUCAAUGCAGUGGGUGGAUAAUCUGAUACAUCUUCUUUGUUUCUUGCAUAAUGAGGGAGUGAAAUUGCAGCCAAAACUUGAGAAAUCUUCUUCAUGUGCAAAAUCCAGUUCCAUUUCUGAGUUGGAAAACACUAAUUGCCACGAUGAUGCAGCCUUAUUUGGAGAUCUCUUUUCCGAGGGUGGUCGCUCUGUUGGAUCAAAUGAUGGAUAUAAGCAAGUACCUUCUGUUAAUCCCCUCACUGGUUCUUAUGAAAUGAUAAUACAAGCUGCUGCUGAAAUUUUCAUCUUCCUCAAGUCCUGCGUAUUUUCUCCAGAAUGGUGUGCUCCUGUGUAUGAGGAUGCUUGCAAGAAGCUUGGCAGAGAUCAUAUUGAUUCUCUGCUGGCGAUGCUUGGCUCUCAAAUUUGUUACUGCUAUGAUGGGUUUGAUGGUGGGCCUGGUGUACACGAGCAAAGCAGGAUAGAGUAAAUUCAAGAGAUAUGUUUCGAGAUGUUGCAUGGUCUGCUUAAGCGUCAUGCUCUCUCUGAUGUGCUGGAGGAGCACCUUGUACUUCAAAUAUUGAAGGUUGAAAAUGGGUUUUUUGCUUACAAUGAUCAAACCCUUGUAUUGGUCGCUCAGACAUUAGUCUGUAGAGUGGGUUCAGCUGGCAGCCAUUUGAGAGAUAAACUUUACAGGCAGUUUGUGAAUUUUAUAGUUGAAAAAGAAAAAGAUGUACGCUCAAAUUGCCCCAUACUAAGGGAACUUGUCAUCUCUCUUCCUAAUGUCUUUCACAUGGAGAUAAUUAUUUUGGCCUUCCAUCUGUCUUCUGAAAGUGAAAAGGUGGCUCUAGCAGACCUCAUUUUCUCUUAUUUAAAGACCUUUGCUGCCAGUUCACAGAUUUUGAGCAGUUCGCAACACAGAUGAUUGUAAUAUGUACCCUGUCCUGUUUUCCUUAUCACAAGUCAUAACCAUGUACGCUUCAGUGAUAAACGUACAAUAGCAAUGGAACAUUAGUUUUCUCAUAAGGAAGUUAUGUUGUUUAGUUGUAUUUGAUUUUGUUACAGUUGAUACAUUUCUUGGCUGCUUAUGUAUUCGGUUGUGAUUUUUUGGCUUGUUAUAAGAUGGAAUUUUUGUUUC